AUGAAGUGCACAGGUUGUGGCCAUGUUGCGUUUGAGAAAACGGCUAGAUUCUGCAGCCAGUGUGGACAUCAACUAGCUGCACCACCAGUCACCAAGGAGCCUGACAACACUUCUGGAAGUUCACCUAAGCCGUUAGAUCCAUCACUGGAGAGUGUGAAUGAGAAGACGGAAAUGGAGAGUGAUGUGUCAACCCUGAAUAACCGGGAAACUAACACUUCUCCGAAGCGGCCCAAUGAAGAGCCCAACAGCAACCCUAAGAAAAAGAGAAAAAAGAGGAAGAGGACCAAGAAGAAGAAGGACUCUGACCAGCUGACCUCUGACCUGUCUGACAUCUCCCUUAUGGACAGCCAUGGGAAUAGCAGGAAACAGGACGUUGCAGAGUCCUCCGACAGUGAUGCCAGCGCCAUGGACGAGACACCCAACUCACUUCAUGACACGUCUGCCUUAGUGGAGAAACCAGCCAGUGCAUCAGCAUCAUCCGCAGCACCCAGUACAAUCAGUCCAUCUGAGAACACGUCUGACAAUAAAGAUCCUCCAAGCACUACCUCGUCACAGCCUGAGGCCAGUGCAGAGAGCCAUUCUGCCGAAGGGAAAGAUCAACAGUGCAGUGAAGACAGAGACCGAUCUCAGUCACCUACAAAACAGACCUCCAAGUCGGCUCCGAAUGACACUCCUGCCUCUCUCACCGACUCGGCUGGUAAAUCCACCACCACCACCAUCCCCCCUCUUCACUCAGCCUCAGUGGUAUCGUCGAAGACCACUGACCAGAAAGCUCCAAAGGCUGCUGACGCAAAGAUCGCUGACCAGAAAGUUCCAAAGGAUGCUGACGCAACGACCACUGACCAGAAAGCUCCAAAGGCUGCUGACGCAACGACCGCUGACCAGAAAGCUCCAAAGGCUGCUGACGUAAAGAUCGCUGACCAGAAAGCUCCAAAGGCUGCUGACGUAAAGAUCGCUGACCAGAAAGCUCCAAAGGCUGCUGACGCAACGACCGCUGACCAGAAAGCUCCAAAGGCUGCUGACGUAAAGAGCACUAAGAACAAGAAAGACGUGGCCAACUCAAAGCAGACGAACCUGAACCAGAAUGCGAACGUGAACCAGAAUGCUAAGCAGAACCAGACCAGACAAGACAAACAGAAAGGGACAGAUGAUCAGCAGAACCAGGAUUCGAAGCAAACCACCGCUGGUAAUAAGAUGGUGUUUGGCACUCAGAAGAAAUCAGAGGUGGAGAGCAGAGGCUCCAGUGUGGACCCACAGGUGAAGGUGGAGAACAUGGAGGUCCAGCAGCAGCCUUCCCGUGGGGGGGGAGAUGACUCCUCCCCUACACCACAGAGCCCAGGCGUCAAGAAAGAGAAACAGAAAGACAACAAAAGCGACGACUCUGAAACCAAGGGUCAGGAUGUUCCACCGCCAAAAAGGUAUUUACAAGUCUUGUGUUGUUCAUAACAGAAAUCACACAAUUAUAACAUGAAGAACCUAAAAGGCACACUUUUCUUGCAUUGAUCAACAUCUAUAGGUGCACAAAAGCACUUUCAAAAACACCCACAGACUCGCACAGCGCUACUAUCCACUGUUGUUUGUGUACACAAUGUUGUGUUUAUUUCCAAACACGUUUCUGAGAGAGGAAAUCCACUCUAACUACAGGUACAGAAGCAAAGUAAGUAUUCAUACUCCUUGACUUAUUCUACAUGUUGUUGUCUUCCAGCCUGAAUUCAAAAUGGUUUAAAUAGAUGUAUUUGUCUCAACAAUCUACAAACAAUACCCCAUAAUGACGUAAUAAUGUUUUUAGAAUUUUUGCAAAUUGAUUGAAAAGUAAAUACAGAAAUAUUUAAUUUACAUAAUUAUUCACACCCCUAAGUUAAUACUUUGUAGAAGUGCUGUUGGUGGCGAUUUCAGCUGUGAAUCUUUUUGGGGAAGUCUCUAAGAGCACUUCACUUGUCAAGCUCUGUCGAGUUGAUCGUUACUUGCUAGACAGCCAUUUUCAAGGCUUGCCAUACAUUUUAAAGAUGAUUUAAGCGAACUGUAACACGUUCACUCAGGAACAUUCAAUGGCGUCUUGGUAUAAUGUUAUUCCCCUUUUUUCCACCCCAAUUUCAUGGUAUCCAAUUGGUAGUAGUUACAGUCUUGUCUCAUCGCUGCAACUGCCGUACGGACUUGGGAGAGGCGAAGGUCGAGAGCCAUGUCCUCCAAAACACAACCCAAGGACCCAUGGACCUCCCGGUCGCGGUCGGCUGCGACAGAGCCUGGGCUCGAACGCAGAGUCUCUGGUGUCACAGCUAGCACUGCGAUGCAGUGCCUUGGACCACUGCGCCACCCGGGAGGCCUUCUGUUUCUUUUUAUCCCAAAAAACUCCCUAGUACUUGCCGAUGACAAGCAUACCCAUAACAUGAUGCUUCCACCACUGUGCAUUGAAAAACCUCCCAAGUCUUUGUGGUUGAAUCUGUGUUUGAAAUUCAGUACUCAAUUGUGUGGCACAGAAAUCAUGAUCACCACUAUAAUUGAACAUGGAAUGAGUACAUGCAAUUUAAGCAUAUUUUUUACUCCUGAAAUUAAUUAGGCUUUCAUAACAAAAGGUUUGAAUACUUACUGACUCAAGACAUUUCAGCUUUACAUUUUUUAUUAUUUUCUACAAACAAAAUUCCACUUUGACAUUGUGUGUGUGUGUGUGUGUGUGUGUGUGUGUGUGUGUGUGUGUGUGUGUGUGUGUGGAUCAGUGACAUAAUCUCAAUUGAAUCCAUUUUAAAUUUGUGCUGUAACACAACCAAAUGUGGAAAAGGUAAAGGGGUGUGAAUACUUUCUGAGUGCACUGUAUGAGGAAGGGUGGAGAUGGGGAUUGAACCCCAGUCUCCGGUGGCGGAGGUGCUUGUGCCUGGGAGUGUUACACAUUCGACCAUGGAUCAGCACAUUUUAAAUCCCUUUUAUCAGUACCGAUCACGCACACCGCCACUCAUGAUUAUACUCUGAUUUGUUUUGUUUGGUCCAAUUGCAGGAUUCCUCCAGGGAAAAAACAGCUCUCUGCAAGUGAGAGACUCACAAUCUAUUUCCACGCUGUCCUCUCGAAGGAUUUCAAGCUGAACCCGGACGAGGAUCGCAUCUUCAUCAGGGCUGGGGGGGACAUUGGGAACUGGAAAACCGAUUCCGUUGAGCUCACUGUGUCUAAGUAGGUUUUUAUAUACAUGUAUCAGCCGUCAAGACAGUUUAGCCAAAUAUGUUGAAUAUUUAUUCAAUAGGAACCUGCUUAUAAUGUUCAACAUUGUUCCCAUCUAUCUCACAUAGAAAACAACCGACUCGUGGUGGGGGUUAAAUGUAUAUGAUGUGUAACAGAGGAUAAACCAAUGCCUUACCUCCUACAGGGAUCUUGGAGAGCAUGGGUUCCUAGUCGAAGGGAGCUUGAUCACAAGCAAAUCUAAUGCAACUGUCUCCAUACCAUACAAGUACCUCGUCUACAAGCUUAAAAAGCAAAAGUACGAGUUUGAGUACAUAUACAAACUGGAUUCUAACUACCCCACCACCAACAGAUGUCUUUUUGUCAAAUCUCAUCUGCUUAAUGAAGAAGGUGGGUGCAGUUGCUAUAACAACUUCUAUAGCAGUUCUUUAUUGUAAGUCACUGAUCAUUAAAAUGUUCCAUUUUCUUCAUGUAAGUUCAAAACCUUGUUGAUUUUUAUCAUACAUCUAUUUGGUAUUGCUCGUCUAUUUUGCUCACACUGUCUUACAUGUGAGGAAAUUGUUUAAAAUGUACGCAAAUAUAUUACGCAAUGAUUUUGUUUGGUUUCAGGGGACUGGCAUCAGUAUGAUGACAUCAUCUGUGUGGAGCCAUCCAAGAACGUGCUCAAGCGGCUAAAAGACGCUUUUUGGCCGGAACAAAGGAAAAGUGUCAUUGAAGGCCGAGAAAUUGCAGGGAAAGUUAUGCUGGAGAGUAUAUUUGACCUCCUCAGGAGCUGGACUGACAUUAACUUCAAGAGUUUCCUCAAUCAGCUGAAUCAGUUUUACCAGAUCUACGGGAACCCGUUUGUCUAUGAGGAGACACACAAGAAAUGGUACUCCUUAGACUACGACGAAAAAGAUGUAAGUGAAAUUCUUAAUGUCUGUUUGGCCUUUGCUUGUUUUGCUGUCUCCUGCCCUGCCUCCCCUCUUCUGAUUUAUCCCAGUUAUU
ensembl:lncRNA